UACUGCACGACUUCGCCUCCUCGUCUCGCUUAUCGCUCUCGCUCGCGACUACCCCGUAUCCGCGCGUCCCCUUUCUCUCGCUUCUCUUCGUAGCGAAACAACCGCGGGCACAUUGCGUUUCCUCUUUUUCUGGUAGCCACGGCGGCGCGUAGUCCCGAUUUGCGCGCGCGUAUGCUGCAUGUACUCGUACGUACGAACCUCCACAUCGGUCGGUUUUUCUCGCCGAUCCUCGCGUCACCGCGACACUGGCGAGGCCCGGUCGCGUUGCCGGCUCCGCGCGCGCAAAACUCGCGAAUCGCGCGCCUCGAUUGGCCGAGCCGUGCCGCCGCCGCCAAUCGCGAUCCCGCGUGUUUACCUACUCUCGAGCGCGCCCGCCACUUGCUCCACGUCGCCGUCGCGUUGCGGGCUACAGCGGAAAAAAUUGGUUUGCGUCUCUGUCGUCCCCGGUGCGAUCGCGAUUGGAUGCUGCGCGGAUGUGCUAUCGCGAUACAAUGAGAUCUGCUAGAGUCUAGAUGCACAAGAGCUUUAAUAAUUCUCUGGAGCUCUCAGUCGCGCGGAUCUCAAAAAUAUGGCAUACGCGCAAAGAUAAAGUUAAUUUGCAAAAAAAGAAAAAAUGUAAAAAUUAAGGGAAAUGUAAAUGUACCAAUUACAUCGCUAGAAUUUCUUGUCGAUUUGGUAGUCGCGGUAUCGCUAAUAAACUCGCCCACGUUAUUCGCGCCAGCCGAUACGCCAGCAACGAGGGGGAUCCCCGUAUAUCUGAGUGCGCGGUAUAAUUUAUUCGGAUUUCGGAAUAAUAGCGCAGUCCCCUGGCACAAUAACGACCCCCACGAUCCUCGCUGCGGCACGUUAUAUUUCAUUAUGCAUAAACGUCCGUCCAAUCUCCAUACGGUUACCGGCUCGUUUCAUGCCGUUACUUCGAUAACGGCAUCGAUUUGACUCGCCAUCGAGCUCGAUCUUGUUAAGCAGAUCGCGCGCGCAAAGUUACAUAAAAGCACAAACGUAAUGCAUAAGCAUCUCGAUGAAUAAGACACGGAAUGUAAAAUCCUGCGCGACGAUGCAUAUUAGUCCGUGUUUACUUUUACGGCGUUCUAUGUGCAUUGUAUGACUCACGCUUACAAAAAUCGUUAUUCACAUUCAAUGAGCUUUAUGUAAUCGGAAACUUUAACCCCGUGCAUUUUAUUAAUAGCAAAUAUGGAAGCAUUAAUGUUUAAUGCACCGUUACAAAUCAAGAUUUCUUAGUUGGGAAUUAACUUUCCCAGGCAAAAAACUUAUCCGCGUUGUUCAAUCGUCGUUCAGCGACGAAAUUUAUUUCAAGAACAAAAGUUGGUUUCAGCAACUUAAUUAUUUCGAUUGACGUCGAAUACUGAAAUUUUAAAAACUACGGAAAAUAUUUGAAGGCGCCGAAUGUUCUCGAUUACGUAAGAUAAUCUCAGAUGUUAAUAAAUCAGAGAACAAGAAAAAAGAUCGAUGUAUGCAGAGAUUUGUUUAAUUUGGCAAUCAACACUGAACUAAGCGCCGAAUAAAUGGAAUCUCAUUGUCUCUAG